rnacentral:rRNA from 1 species
CAGUCGCCGCGGUAAUACCGAGGGUGCGAGCGUUAAUCGGAUUUACUGGGCGUAAAGCGUGCGUAGGCGGCUUCUUAAGUCGGAUGUGAAAUCCCUGAGCUUAACUUAGGAAUUGCAUUCGAUACUGGGAAGCUAGAGUAUGGGAGAGGAUGGUAGAAUUCCAGGUGUAGCGGUGAAAUGCGUAGAGAUCUGGAGGAAUACCGAUGGCGAAGGCAGCCAUCUGGCCUAAUACUGACGCUGAGGUACGAAAGCAUGGGGAGCAAACAGGAUUAGAGACCCCGGUAGUCCCUGUCUCUUAUAC